rnacentral:lncRNA from 1 species
UUCUUUUUUUUUUUUUUUUUUGUUACAUUCCAUGAGUUUAAUUGGAUACAAUUAUCUUACAUAAUGUUUUAAUACUGUGAUGUGCUAAAUUACUAAUACUUCCUUUGAAGAAUAAUUUCAGGUCAAAUCACUGUCAAAUAUAUUCCAGUGUAUUCAAAAGAACAAACCUGUGAUCUCAAUAGAUUUUCCUCUGUAUUUUUUCCUAAGAUUUCUCCUUUCGGUCACAGAAAGAGCAGAAACAUGGAGAAAUCUUAUGACAUACUUACCUAGUAGAUGUAUUUCCUUCUGAAACAAAAGGCUUUGCAAAUGAAAAUAAAUAAUCUUUUCUUUCCUUUUUUUUUUUUUUUUAAGUGACAGUACAAAGUCAAGAAUGUUAAACAGCCAAAGUCUGAAAGGCGUUCAUAGUGCUAAUACCUUCUCUUUCAAAGGUACCUUUUGCAUAAACACAAGCAACCAGAUUAAUAGUAUGUUCCAUACAUUAAGUGUAGAGUAGGAUAGUGCAAUUAGUCUUUUGGCAAUCUAGGAUUUCAUUUGGAGAAUAUAAAGUAUAACUAUUUUGUCAUGUAAUUAUCCAAACAUUUUUUAAUGGCAUAAGCUAACAGUAGUAAAAACUGUAUCCAUAAAGCAAAUUCUUUCCCUUGGUUCUUAUUUCAUUUGAAAAAGUCAGAACCUAAAGAAGUUGUAAGACUGAUGGAUCACUUUGGAACAGCAUAUCCAAGAGUUGCCAUCAUUCCUAUAAAGCGGAAUCCAUAAGGAAUAUUAUAUUGGCCUAUAUAGCUAAUAAAGAAAGUUUUUAAGAGGCUCAAAUAGAUCUAUGUUAAAAUUGAGAAGAAAAAAUUCUAGACACUUUUAAAGAAGAUUACUCCGUCCUCUUCCCCAAAAGCAUAAGUUUCACAGCACUUUGCAUAAUGAUACAUAAUACCAAAAAGAUUAAACAAAGAACAUUUGUAAAAAUCUGCAUAUUCCAUGAAGGGCUCUCUCUUCUAUCUGUACUUUGUGUGCUCAAAGUACAGAUGUCAAACACAAAUUCCACUGAAGAUAAAAUAUGGAAUAUCAGGAAAUGCCAUAGAAAAAAACAACAAACCCCUGCCCUAAUGACAGAUAAAAUUUGCUUUGCAUGUAUAUGGAUCCAGGAGCGACAAUUUAAGCAGGCCUGGCUAACUAUGCUGCACCAGUUAAGCAGAUUAACAAAACAGCUUUAACUGUAGGAACUGUCAAUUAAGAUUCUGAGAAUUAUCUUUCUCCUCUUCUGGUGUGGUUACUACCUUGGCUAAAUAUACUACUUUUCUAGCAUGAAAUUUCAUGUCUGUAACCCCCAUUGCUUCUUUCCUAACAGUCUUUAUUUCUCCACAGCAUUUUCCAACUUUCAGCUUCCUUUUUCCCUCCUGCAAUGCUUGCUUCCUUGUCAUUUGAGAAAUUUCUCUUCUGUUCUCCUUCCCCUGCCUCAAAGCCCCAGGCUCACACAUUCACUUAUUUCCUUUAUUCUCUCCCUUACUUAUUAACCUAUCAACGUCAUCUGGCUCUUCCUCCUUCCAAUGUAAACAUUCCUUAGUUUCUGUGUCCUUAAAAGGCCUGCUGUUGUCCACACUUGUUUCUCCAGUUACAGAUCAUCUCUCAUUUACUUAACAAAGAAAGUGCUGUUUGCAGUCAGGUUUGGUAAGUAUUUUCCAGUGCUUUUCUCUAAUGUACAUUGUGCAUUGAAUUUCAUUGAAAUGACUUGUCACAAUCCCUCUGUUCAUAGCCAUAACUGACAAUAAAUGUCAUCCUUAUAUGCUUCCACCUACCGAGCUGCCUUCAAUACAACCAACAAUGGUUUUCCUGGAGUCUAGAUCUCUCUUGGCUUCUUUGGUUCUUCUCUGUCCUGAUUACCUUUCUGCUUCAUAAAUCAGUCCUUCAGAAGAGUAUUCUCAUUUUCCAGUCAAUUCCCUACAACCUCUCACAGAAGUCUUUUCUCUUUCCUCCUCCCUCUUUGCAUCUUAACUUCAGAUAUCAAAAUACUAGUUCUCUAAUCAUGACUCAAAGUUAAACCUCUAUUCCAGAUGUAUCUCCACAUCCAAUUAUUCACCAUUAUUUCAAAUCCAGAAGGAUUAGAACAAAGAUCCUCAUUUUAAUUUUACUGAAAUUUUUGCUCAAAACUUCUCCAUCAUUGCAGACAGCAACUUGUCACUAGUACAGAUAAAUUGGAGAUUAUCUACAACUUCAAUUUCCUUCUACAUCAUCACCUCUAGGUUAUGUGUUAGUCCUACAAAUUCUUUCUGCUUAUGACAUCGAGGACAUGGUCUUCCACAUUCAUUUACAUAGCUAAAACAUUUAUCUAAGUCUAGGUCUCACUGCAAUAAUGUCCUUUUUCCUUGGCUUGCUUGCUGCUUUUGUCCUUCCUUUCCUUCAACUAUUGGCAUCUCUUGAUUCAAAACAAAAAUCACAAGUCUAUUAGUUUGACCAUGCCACCAUCUUCCCUUCUUUUUUUCACUGCAUCAGACCUAAGCUAGUCAUUUUCACUACCAAAUUUGCAAAGUUUGUUCCUGCAUCAAGCUUUGAGCAUCUUGCUUACACAGGAGCACAACUCAUCUGCACCAGGCAAUUUUGCAAUGAAUGAUUCAUUAGCCUGCCCUUCUAUUUAAAAAAAGAACAAAACAGUUAUUGUGGAAUGUGCCAAAGUGUUUAUUAGUGCUACACUGAUCUAUUUUGACAUUCACUGGCAGAAAUUAAUCUAAUUGGUUCAAAACUAAGUUAAUAGCCAAAAUGGGAAAAUCAAAAAAAUUAUGUUUGAAUGCCAAAGAAAAUUACUCCUGAAAAGAUUAUAAAUAUAAUAAUCUUUGAGGUUUACUGUUAUGGUAGCAUAAAGUAAGAGAAAGCAUGCAAGUAAGGUAUACUGCUAUUCUUUCAGAGUAUUAAUUCUUUCAGGUUAUUAAUAGAAAAUGUGAAUGUUGAAUAAAGUUCUUUCACAGAAUGACCAAAGACUUACAGACAGACAGGUCUGGAGAAAUUAUUUUAUGUUUACUCUGGGGAGCAUAUUGAGGACUCACAGGCAAGAGUUAAGAAAUGACUGUGAUAUAAAAAUGCAAAGAGACAGACCGCUAUUAUUCUUUAAUAACACAAUAACAAAUUUAAAUUGAAAAUAUUUACUAGUUUCAUAACAUUUGAUCUAUAACUAUAUUAUUAUUCUUUAUAUAACAUUUCAGUUUAAAAAGACCAUAUUACAUCAGCUAUAAUAAUAUGCGUUCCAUGUCUCCAAAAAAUAGCCCAAAAUGGGCAUUCAAAACAAAUUGCUAAUGUCAAACAGAGAUUAAGUUU